rnacentral:rRNA from 1 species
AGCGGAGGAAAGAACCAACAGGGAUUGCCCCAGUAGCGGCGAGUGAAGCGGCAAAAGCUCAGAUUUGGAAUCGCUUCGGCGAGUUGUGAAUUGCAGGUUGGCGCCUCUGCGGCGGCGGCGGUCCAAGUCCCUUGGAACAGGGCGCCAUUGAGGGUGAGAGCCCCGUGGGACCGUUUGCCUACGCUCUGAGGCCCUUCUGACGAGUCGAGUUGUUUGGGAAUGCAGCUCUAAGCGGGUGGUAAAUUCCAUCUAAGGCUAAAUACUGGCGAGAGACCGAUAGCGAACAAGUACUGUGAAGGAAAGAUGAAAAGCACUUUGAAAAGAGAGUGAAACAGCACGUGAAAUUGUUGAAAGGGAAGGGUAUUGCGCCCGACAUGGAGCGUGCGCACCGCUGCCCCUCGUGGGCGGCGCUCUGGGCGUGCUCUGGGCCAGCAUCGGUUUUUGCCGCGGGAGAAGGGCGGCGGGCAUGUAGCUCUUCGGAGUGUUAUAGCCUGCCGCCGGCGCCGCGAGCGGGGACCGAGGACUGCGACUUUUGUCUCGGAUGCUGGCACAACGGCGCAACACCGCCCGUCUUGAAACACGGACCUCCUGUGUGAAGGGAAUUCCGCUAA